rnacentral:rRNA from 1 species
GACGUAGGGCGCAAGCGUUGUCCGGAUUUAUUGGGCGUAAAGAGCUCGUAGGCGGUCUGUCGCGUCUGCUGUGAAAACUCAGGGCUUAACCCUGAGCUUGCAGUGGGUACGGGCAGACUAGAGUGCGGUAGGGGAGACUGGAAUUCCUGGUGUAGCGGUGAAAUGCGCAGAUAUCAGGAAGAACACCCGUGGCGAAGGCGGUUCUCUGGGACGGUACUGACGCUGGAGACGCGAAAGCGUGGGGAGCGAACAGG